GGCGCAGGCGGCCUGUCAAGUCGGAUGUGAAAUCUCCCGGCUCAACCGGGAGGGUGCAUUCGAAACUGAUGGGCUAGAGUGCAGCAGAGGAAGAUGGAAUUCCCGGUGUAGUGGUGAAAUGCGUAGAUAUCGGGAAGAACACUAGUGGCGAAGGCGGUCUUCUGGGCUGUAACUGACGCUGAGGUCCGAAGGCGUGGGGAGCAAACAGGAUCAGAUACCCUGGUAGUCCACGCAGUAAACCAUGGAUACUAGGUAUGGGGAGUAUCGACCCUCUCCGUGCCGAAGCUAACGCUUUAAGUAUCCCGCCUGGGGACUACGGUCGCAAGACUAAA
rnacentral:rRNA from 1 species